CUUUUAUGAUUUUGUCUAUGCUUUGUAACAUGUCUAGUUUGUGCCCAUGUUGCUUUUGUAAGCUUUUAAGGUUUGUUUUAUUGUAUGUUUGUAGGCUUUUAUGGUUUGUGCCAUGCAUAUGCAAUUCCUUGCGUAUGCAACCUUUAUGCUUGUGUACUUGAAGUUUAAUGUCAUACAUUUUACUUUGAUACAACACUUUUGUGCCCUAAUAGGAUUGUUCCUAGAUACAAAUUGUGGGGCCAGAAAUCAGGUGGCCUUGGCCCACUCCAAGCUAGGCCCAAUGGCCCACGCCAAGGAUGCAUGAGGGGUCCGAGGAUGAAAGUGCGAGGACCAACCCCCGAGGAACAUGUCCGAGGAUGACCCCGUCCUUGGGCGUCUGAGACCUCGGGAGAACACGAGCAACGCCCCACCAAAGGGGACUCCUUGAAUAUCCGAGGAGGACGAGGUCUAGUGCCACGCGUCGGCAACGGGAGCACGACAAAGGAGCAAGCCAUAGGCGAGCUGUCACCUCUGCAUUGAAUGCGCUCAUCUAACCCCCCUGGCCGCAUUAAUAGGGAUGUAACCCCUUGACAGGGGAACACUGACCAUUGUGAGCCACUCGAGUACGGAUAAGGCCUCUGAUGGGAUAGACGAUCAGAAGGGAGACCAAUGGAUGAUCAACAAAAGGAAGGAGGGGAUAGGAGGAAGGGAAUCAUAUAAGAAAGGCGAGCAAAGCAGUUUAGAGGAGGAAAAAAAUUUUGAUUACUGAAGAGGAGGACAUAGAAUGACUUGGAGGUUAUGUUAGUUUCAGGGGGGGAACCUCCUCGGACGAGGGUCGAGGAGCUACCCUUAAUUAAAUUCUUGGAUUUAUGAAAGACGAACAACUGCAAAAGCAUUUGCCAAGGAUGUUUUCAUUAAUCAAGAACGAAAGUUGGGGGCUCGAAGACGAUCAGAUACCGUCCUAGUCUCAACCAUAAACGAUGCCGACCAGGGAUCGGCGGAUGUUACUUAUAGGACUCCGCCAGCACCUUAUGAGAAAUCAAAGUCUUUGGGUUCCGAGGGGAGUAUGGUCGCAAGUUUGAAACAUAAAGGAAUUGACGAAAGGGCACCACCAGGAGUGGAGCCUGCGGCAUAAUUUGACUCAACACGUGGAAACUUACCAGGUCCAGACAUAGUAAGGAUUGACAGACUGAGAGCUCUUUCUUGAUUCUAUGGGUGGUAGUGCAUGGCCGUUCUUAGUUGGUGGAGUGAUUUGUCUGGUUAAUUCCAUUAACGAACGAGACCUUAGCCUGCUAACUAGCUAUGCGGAGGUGACACUUCGCAGCUAGCUUUUUAAAGGGACUAUGGCCGUUUAGGCCAAGGAAGUUUGAGGCAAUAACAGGUCUGUGAUGCCCUUAGAUGUUUUGGGCCGCACGUGUGCUACACUGAUGUAUUCAACAAGUUUAUAGCCUUGGCCGACAAGCCCGGGUAAUCUUUGAAAUUUCACCGUGAUGGGGAUAGAUCAUUGCAAUUGUUGGUCUUCAACGAGGAAUUCCUAGUAAGCGCGAGCCAUCAGCUCGCGUUGACUACGUCCCUGCCCUUUGUACACACCGCCCAUCGCUCCUACCAAUUGAAUGGUCCGGUGAAGUGUUCGAAUCGCGGCGACGUGGGCGGUUCGCUGCCGGUGACGUCGCGAGAAGUCCAUUGAACCUUAUCAUUUAGAGGAAGGAGAAGUCGUACCAAGGUUUCCGUAGGUGAACCUACGGAAG
rnacentral:rRNA from 1 species